rnacentral:rRNA from 1 species
GACGGAGGAUGCAAGUGUUAUCCGGAAUCACUGGGCGUAAAGCGUCUGUAGGUGGUUAUAAGUCAACUGUUAAAUCUUGAGGCUCAACCUCAAAAUCGCAGUCGAAACUAUUAGGCUAGAGUAUAGUAGGGGUAAAGGGAAUUUCCAGUGGAGCGGUGAAAUGCGUAGAGAUUGGAAAGAACACCGAUGGCGAAGGCACUUUACUGGGCUAUUACUAACACUCAGAGACGAAAGCUAGGGUAGCAAAUGGG